rnacentral:rRNA from 1 species
GGUUGCGAUCAUACCAGCACUAAUGCAUUGGAUCUCAUCAUAACUCCGCAUUUAAGCGUGCUUGGGCGAGAGUAGUACUAGGAGGGGUGACCCCCUGGGAAGUCCUCGUGUUGCAACCCC